CGAAGGGGGCUAGCGUUGUUCGGAAUUACUGGGGCGUAAAAGCGCACGUAGGCGGAUAUUUAAGUCAGGGAUGAAAUCCCAGAGCUCAACUCUGGAACUGCCUUUGAUACUGGGUAUCUUGAGUAUGGAAGAGGUAAGUGGAAUUGCGAGUGUAGAGGUGAAAUUCGUAGAUAUUCGCAGGAACACCAGUGGCGAAGGCGGCUUACUGGUCCAUAACUGACGCUGAGGUGCGAAAGCGUGGGGGGAGCAAACAGGAUU
rnacentral:rRNA from 1 species